AGGUGGUGCAUGGUUGUCGUCAGCUCGUGUCGUGAGGAUGUUGGGUUAAGUCCCGCAACGAGCGCAACCCUCGCCUCUAGUUGCCAGCAUUCGGUUGGGCACUCUAGAGGGACUGCCGGCGACAAGUCGGGAGGAAGGUGGGGAUGACGUCAAAUCAUCAUGCCCCUUAUGACCUGGGCUACACACGUGCUACAAUGGGCGGUACAAAGGGCUGCGAACCCGCGAGGGGGAGCGAAUCCCAAAAAGCCGCUCUCAGUUCGGAUUGCAGGCUGCAACUCGCCUGCAUGAAGCCGGAAUCGCUAGUAAUCGCGGAUCAGCAUGCCGCGGUGAAUACGUUCCCGGGCCUU
rnacentral:rRNA from 1 species